UACGUAGGGUGCGAGCGUUAAUCGGAAUUACUGGGCGUAAAGUGUGCGCAGGUGGCCGCGCAAGUCGAGUGUGAAAUCCCCGAGCUUAACUUGGGAACUGCGCUCGAAACUACUUGGCUAGAGUGUGGCAGAGGGAGGUGGAAUUCCACGUGUAGCGGUGAAAUGCGUAGAGAUGUGGAGGAACACCGAUGGGGAAGGCAGCCUCCUGGGCCAACACUGACGCUCAUGCACGAAAGCGUGGGGAGCAAACAGG
rnacentral:rRNA from 1 species